AUGUUUGAAUCGGUUGCAACUGGUUUAAGGGCGGGGGUUGGAGAUGCCGUUAGAAGAAGAAAGGAGACGAAUCUAGGGCCACGCCACUUUUCCCCAUUCCCUGCUCAGUCCAGUUCUCCACCCAAACAGAGCAAGAGCAGGAAAACUCCCAAGAAGAAGAAAGAAGGGGAGGAAGCAGAUAAGCGGAAUCAGGAAGGGGAAAUGGCGGAAUCGAACUCGUACGAGGAGCAGCGCCGGAGGCAGAUUGAGGAGAACCGCCGGAAGCUGGACGAGCUCCGCCUGCAUCACCUCUCCGCCGCCGUCCGCGAGGCCGCCGCCAGGCCCAAGCCCAACCCCAAACCGGUCCGUCAGUUCCUCUCCCUUCUUCUUCCUUGCCUCCGGUCUUCCAUCUCCUUUUUCUCCCGUAUGCAUGACUGGUCCGCUGCUUCCGUGUCGCAGAAGCCGAAGGCCCCGCCCCCCGGCGAGCUCCGGCGGUCCGGCCGCGUCGCCAGCCUCCCGGAGCAGCCCAACUACCUCAAGGGCGCGCAGCAGCGCGACUACCAGGGACUGUACGCCGAUGUUAUUUGGAAAGGGCCGACCGACGAGGAGAGGGCCACCGCCGCCGCCAAGGCCGAGGAGCUCCAGCGCCAGAUUCACCGCAUCCGCUGGCCCGCCUUCGUCAAGCCCAUCACCCACGCCUGCGCCAGCAGGGCAAACUUUAUGACUAUCCCGAAGCAAUCCACCGAGUACCUCCCGGCGCACGAUGAGCCAGUCGUCGUGGUGGAUGAGGCGGAUGACGAGUCCCACAUGAUGUACAAUGCCAGCAGACAGGGCAGGCACUGCUACCUCAGCAAGGGGUGGAGAGAGUUUGCCGUCGACUAUGACCUUGAAAAUGGCGAUUGCUUGGUUUUCCAGCUGAUAGAGAGCGCAAAGUUCAAGGUGAGAUUCAGCAUGCCCUCGGCUCCAUGGGUCUACAUUUUUAGAGCAAGCCCAGACUAUGAGAGCGACGAAACUUCCGAUGACUCUGAGGAUGAACAGAAGUGA
rnacentral:rRNA from 1 species